rnacentral:rRNA from 1 species
AGUGAACGCUGGCGGUAGGCCUAACACAUGCAAGUCGGACGGCAGCACAGUAAGAGCUUGCUCUUACGGUUGGCGAGUGGCGGACGGGUGAGGAAUACAUCGGAAUCUACUUUUUCGUGGGGGAUAACGUAGGGAAACUUACGCUAAUACCGCAUACGACCUACGGGUGAAAGCAGGGGAUCUUCGGACCUUGCGCGAUUGAACGAGCCGAUGUCGGAUUAGCUAGUUGGCGGGGUAAAGGCCCACCAAGGCGACGAUCCGUAGCUGGUCUGAGAGGAUGAUCAGCCACACUGGAACUGAGACACGGUCCAGACUCCUAAGGGAGGCAGCAGUGGGGAAUAGUGGACAAUGGGCGCAAACCUGAUCCAGCGAUACCGCGUUGGAGAAGAAGGCCUUCGGGUUGUAAAGCCCUUUUGUUGGGAAAGAAAAGCAGCAGGUUAAGACCCCGCUGUUCUGACGGUACCCAAAGAAUAAGCACCGGCUAACUUCGUG